GCAAAAUGCAGUCGAGCGAAUGGAUUAAGAGCUUGCUCUUAUGAAGUUAGCGGCGGACCUUUUAGGAACACGUGGGUAACCUGCCCAUAAGACUGGGAUAACUCCGGGAAACCGGGGCUAAUACCGGAUAACAUUUUGAACUGCAUGGUUCGAAAUUGAAAGGCGGCUUCGGCUGUCACUUAUGGAUGGACCCGCGUCGCAUUAGCUAGUUGGUGAGGUAACGGCUCACCAAGGCAACGAUGCGUAGCCGACCUGAGAGGGUGAUCGGCCACACUGGGACUGAGACACGGCCCAGACUCCUACGGGAGGCAGCAGUAGGGAAUCUUCCGCAAUGGACGAAAGUCUGACGGAGCAACGCCGCGUGAGUGAUGAAGGCUUUCGGGUCGUAAAACUCUGUUGUUAGGGAAGAACAAGUGCUAGUUGAAUAAGCUGGCACCUUGACGGUACCUAACCAGAAAGCCACGGCUAACUACGUGCCAGCAGCCGCGGUAAUACGUAGGUGGCAAGCGUUAUCCGGAAUUAUUGGGCGUAAAGCGCGCGCAGGUGGUUUCUUAAGUCUGAUGUGAAAGCCCACGGCUCAACCGUGGAGGGUCAUUGGAAACUGGGAGACUUGAGUGCAGAAGAGGAAAGUGGAAUUCCAUGUGUAGCGGUGAAAUGCGUAGAGAUAUGGAGGAACACCAGUGGCGAAGGCGACUUUCUGGUCUGUAACUGACACUGAGGCGCGAAAGCGUGGGGGAGCAAACAGGAUUAGAUACCCUGGUAGUCCACGCCGUAAACGAUGAGUGCUAAGUGUUAGAGGUUUCCCGCCCUUUAGUGCUGGAAGUUAACGCAUUAAGCACUCCCCCCUGGGGAGUACGGCCGCAAGGCUGAAACUCAAAAGAAUUGACCGGGGGCCCCCCAAGCCGGUGGGAGCAGGGGUUUAAUUCGAGCAACCCGAA
rnacentral:rRNA from 1 species